rnacentral:sRNA from 1 species
AUAUCCGGUGUCCGCCCGCCCUCGGCUCCUCCGCCGUGAUGCUGUCCCGGUCCCGCUGUGUGUCCCGGGCGUUCAGCCGCUCGCUCUCCGCCUUCCAGAAGGGGUCUCCUUAUGCCAGGGACCAGGUUACCCUAACAGCAGGAAGGUUGUCAUUAACAACAGUGUCUUCAGUGUUCGCUUUUUCAGAACUACAGCUGUAUGCAAGGAUGACUUGGUUACAGUCAAAACCCCAGCGUUUGCAGAAUCUGUCACAGAGGGAGAUGUCAGGUGGGAGAAAGCUGUUGGAGACACAGUUGCAGAAGAUGAAGUAGUUUGUGAGAUUGAAACUGACAAGACAUCUGUGCAGGUUCCAUCACCAGCAAAUGGCGUGAUUGAAGCUCUUUUGGUACCUGAUGGGGGAAAAGUCGAAGGAGGCACUCCACUUUUCACACUCAGGAAAACUGGUGGUAAAGAAGUUCUCCUGGUGGUCGAGGUCUCCAGUGUUCCCUCUUGGGAUUGGGACUGAGCAUAAUGUGCUAAUUCCCCGAUAUGUCAAAGACUCUGUCAUUCCAGCUGCCCUUAGUUGAG